ACUCCUACGGGAGGCAGCAGUGGGGAAUUUUGGACAAUGGGGGAAACCCUGAUCCAGCCAUCCCGCGUGUGCGAUGAAGGCCUUCGGGUUGUAAAGCACUUUGGCAGGAAAGAAACGUCGCGGGUUAACUACCCGCGAAACUGACGGUACCUGCAGAAUAAGCACCGGCUAACUACGUGCCAGCAGCCGCGGUAAUACGUAGGUGCAAGCGUUAAUCGGAAUUACUGGGCGUAAAGCGUGCGCAGGCGGUUCGGAAAGAAAGAUGUGAAAUCCCAGAGCUUAACUUGGAACUGCAUUUUAACUACCGGGCUAGAGUGUGUCAGAGGGGAGGUGGAAUUCCGCGUGUAGCAGUGAAAUGCGUAGAUAUGCGGAGGAACACCGAUGGCGAAGGCAGCCUCCUGGGAUAACACUGACGCUCAUGCACGAAAGCGUGGG
rnacentral:rRNA from 1 species